rnacentral:rRNA from 1 species
GAUGAACGCUGGCGGCGUGCCUAAUACAUGCAAGUCGAGCGAACUGAUUAGAGGCUUGCUUCUAUGACGUUAGCGGCGGACGGGUGAGUAACACGUGGGCAACCUGCCUGUAAGACUGGGAUAACUUCGGGAAACCGAAGCUAAUACCGGAUAGAAUCUUCUCCUUCAUGGGAGAUGAUUUAAAGAUGGUUUCGGCUAUCACUUACAGAUGGGCCCGCGGUGCAUUAGCUAGUUGGUGAGGUAACGGCUCACCAAGGCAACGAUGCAUAGCCGACCUGAGAGGGUGAUCGGCCACACUGGGACUGAGACACGGCCCAGACUCCUACGGGAGGCAGCAGUAGGGAAUCUUCCGCAAUGGACGAAAGUCUGACGGAGCAACGCCGCGUGAGUGAUGAAGGCUUUCGGGUCGUAAAACUCUGUUGUUAGGGAAGAACAAGUACGAGAGUAGCUGCUCGUACCUUGACGGUACCUAACCAGAAAGCCACGGCUAACUACGUGCCAGCAGCCGCCGUAAAAC